AGAGUUUGAUCCUGGCUCAGGAUGAACGCUAGCUACAGGCUUAACACAUGCAAGUCGAGGGGCAGCAGAUCGAAAGCUUGCUUUUGAUGCUGGCGACCGGCGCACGGGUGAGUAACGCGUAUCCAACCUUCCCUAUAGUAGAGAAUAGCCCGGCGAAAGUCGGAUUAAUGCUCUAUGUUGUAUUUAGAAGACAUCUGAAGAAUACCAAAGGUUUACCGCUAUAGGAUGGGGAUGCGUCUGAUUAGGUAGUAGGCGGGGUAACGGCCCACCUAGCCGACGAUCAGUAGGGGUUCUGAGAGGAAGGUCCCCCACAUUGGAACUGAGACACGGUCCAAACUCCUACGGGAGGCAGCAGUGAGGAAUAUUGGUCAAUGGACGGAAGUCUGAACCAGCCAAGUAGCGUGCAGGAUGACGGCCCUAUGGGUUGUAAACUGCUUUUAUAUAGGGAUAAAGUCGGGGACGUGUCCCCGUUUGUAGGUACUAUAUGAAUAAGGACCGGCUAAUUCCGUGCCAGCAGCCGCGGUAAUACGGAAGGUCCAGGCGUUAUCCGGAUUUAUUGGGUUUAAAGGGAGCGCAGGCUGAUGAUUAAGCGUGACGUGAAAUGUAGCCGCUCAACGGCUGAACUGCGUCGCGAACUGGUUAUCUUGAGUGAGUUCGAUGUUGGCGGAAUUCGUGGUGUAGCGGUGAAAUGCUUAGAUAUCACGAAGAACUCCGAUUGCGAAGGCAGCCAACAAGGCCUUUACUGACGCUAAAGCUCGAAGGUGCGGGUAUCGAACAGAUUAGAAUACCCCUGGU
rnacentral:rRNA from 1 species